rnacentral:lncRNA from 1 species
ACACUUUUUAAAAGAGUUCCGGUUUAGACCAUCCAAACCGAAAGUCUUUAAGAAAGACUUCCGGUAUACAACAAACCAAACCGGAAGACUUUCUAAAAGACUUCCGGUUCAGUGCCCCAAAAGGCAACAAAUCGGAACUCUUUAGGCAUGUGUUCCGGUAUACAUUACGUGAACCGGAAGACUUACUCUGAGUGUUCCGGUUUACGAUGCCAAAAAGUGAAAAAUUUGCUUUCCGAAAGUCUUCAAACGAAAAUGGUAAAAAAAUUUAAAAAUGAAAAAUAUACCCUAUUUAUAUGAGGGUAUUUUGGUCAAAAAAAUUUAAAUGUAGGGGUAUGGGUACAAUUGUAGGGGUACGGGGUAAAGUUUUC